CCGGCGCACGGGUGAGUAACGCGUAUGCAACUUACCUAUCAGGAGGGGAUAACCCGGCGAAAGUCGGACUAAUACCGCAUGAAGCAGGGGCCCCGCAUGGGGAUAUUUGCUAAAGAUUCAUCGCUGAUAGAUAGGCAUGCGUUCCAUUAGGCAGUUGGCGGGGUAACGGCCCACCAAACCGACGAUGGAUAGGGGUUCUGAGAGGAAGGUCCCCCACAUUGGUACUGAGACACGGACCAA
rnacentral:rRNA from 1 species